rnacentral:rRNA from 1 species
UGAGGAAUAUUGGUCAAUGGGCGCAAGCCUGAACCAGCCAUCCCGCGUGAAGGAUGAAGGCCCUAUGGGUCGUAAACUUCUUUUAUACACCAAGAAAAAGCAGGACGUGUCCUGCUCCGACGGUAGUGUAUGAAUAAGCAUCGGCUAACUCCGUGCCAGCAGCCGCGGUAAUACGGAGGAUGCGAGCGUUAUCCGGAUUCUUUGGGUUUAAAGGGUGCGUAGGCGGCUUUUUAAGUCAGUGAUGAAAUCUUGCCGCUUAACGGUAAAAUUGCCAUUGAUACUGAUAAGCUUGAGUACAAUUGAGAUAAGCGGAAUGUGUAGUGUAGCGGUGGAAUGCUUAGAUAUUACGCAGAACACCGAUUGCGAAAGCAGCUUACUAUGGUUUUAUUGACGAUGAGGCACGGAAGCGUGGGGAUCAAACA